CAUUGUUGGAGAGUUUGAUCCUGGCUCAGGACGAACGCUGGCGGCGUGCUUAACACAUGCAAGUCGAACGCUGAACCCGCUUCGGUGGGGGAUGAGUGGCGAACGGGUGAGUAACACGUGGGUAAUCUGCCCUGUACUUUGGGAUAAGCCCGGGAAACUGGGUCUAAUACCGGAUAGGACCAUGUCACGCAUGUGGUGUGGUGGAAAGUUUCGGCGGUACAGGUUG
rnacentral:rRNA from 1 species